UACAGAGGGUGCGAGCGUUUGUCCGGAAUCACUGGGCGUAAAGGGCGCGUAGGCGGCCUGGUAAGCGUGCGGUGAAAGCCCGGGGCUCAACCCCGGGUCGGCCGUGCGAACUGCGAGGCUGGAGCACUGUAGAGGCAGGUGGAAUUCCGGGUGUAGCGGUGGAAUGCGUAGAGAUCCGGAAGAACACCGGUGGCGAAGGCGGCCUGCUGGGCAGUGGCUGACGCUGAGGCGCGACAGCGUGGGGGAGCAAACAGG
rnacentral:rRNA from 1 species